AGGUAGAAUGGCCGAGUGUUAGGCGGCAGGCUGUAAUCCUGCCCACACGGGUUUAAGCCCCGUUUCUUC
rnacentral:tRNA from 1 species